rnacentral:lncRNA from 1 species
CUAAAGCAGAAGAGUCAUGCAGCCCGAGGAGCAGGACUUACGGACCUUUCCCCGGUCAACCAUGCGGAGCCUUCGUCCGGGCCUGUUCUUGCUAAUCACGCAGAUGGGAUUAUUCCAGCUGGCAGUGGGAGAGGCAGAAUGUGCAACUGCAGAUGGAUGCUUUGCUUAUGAAGAGCGCAGCUGGGGGGCCUGGUAUAUCUGGCGGAGAUCCUUCGUGCAGCGCACCAUUGCCGUGUUUGCUCUCAGCGAUGCCGACUCAGUAGAAAAAAGCGAAGCUCCCUUGGGGCCGUGUCCCCUGGUCCAGCCCCAUCUGCAGAUCCCCGAGGCGGGCUCUUCUGAUCUCAGCACGAACGGGGUGGCAUCAAAUGAGCGCCCCCCUUCCUACGAGGAGACGAUGCAGCAAGGCAGCCCUCGGAGAUGGCACUCCGCUUCAGGAUCUGCGAGGGAGGGGCCCCCAGGCUUAGAGGGGNAGGGGGAGGCCUGGCAGACAUAGCUGGGCUGCUGGGCCGGGCGUGGGAAGCGCCCACUUUGCUGAGGAGCUCCGUGGUCUUCCCUUGGCAUGCCGCCCUUGCUAGCCUGCAGCUAUAAUGCAGCUCUAGGAUCUGAAAGCAUAUACUUAUACCAAAUAAAAUGCUAUUUUAGC